ensembl:lncRNA
UAUGUUUUUAUAGCUGUAUAAACUAAACUAAGUCACCUUGCAAUUUGAUGGUUACCAACAUAGCAAUUUUGAGACCCCAGUUUUGUUUGGGCUUUGUUUGUUUGCGUUUUUGUGUAAGGAUUUAUGCAUGCUUUUUUAAAUGUUAUGUCUAAUUUUCACAGGAUGUGGGAUUUUUAAAACUGGAGCAACAGGUGUGCCAUGGAUGUUGGCACGAAGGAUAGAUGACUCAUAGGCCUAAAACAAUUGUUCAUAUAGUGACUGGCUGUGGCGGGAAUUAGUGCUGCAUUCAAAGUACCAAAGCAAAAGAUUUUCUUCCAUCAAGUUUACAUGAACGUACACGUAAUCGAUGUUAAUGUUAACUCAUGUAAUGUUGCAGAUCCAUUUACACGGAAGGUCACUUUAUUAGGUACACUUGUUCCAUUGUUUGUUAAUACAAAAAGUAUAAUCAGUCACUCACAUAGUAGCAACUCUGCAUUAAGGCAUGUAGACAUGGCUGAGAAGACCUGCUGAAGUUCAAACAGAGCAUCAGAAUAGGGGGAAAAAGGUCAUUUACAGUUAGGCAGACAUAAUCUUUGUAGUUUUGCCUCUGAACACCCACCACAGUAGAUUUAAAUCACACAAUCAAAGGCAGAGUUUCAUCUUUAUUAAAGGGGUUUUACAAAAAUUUUGCAUUUUUACAUGACAUUUAGUGGCUCAUGUUUGGACAGGCAAAUAUAAUUUAUAAUGUAUAAUUUAAUUGUAAGGAUUGUUUUGAAUACCUUUAUCAAAAAUCAUUUGCAGUCAAUGACUCCCUGAAGUUUAGAAUCCAUGGACAUCAUAAAAAUGAUGUGUUUCCUCUCUUGAGAUGGUCUGCCAGACCUUGUUGCAGUCGCUUUCAGUUGCUGUGUUUUUCUUUUUUUGCAUUUAGUUUUGUAUUUAAGGACUGAAGAGCUAUUGCACUGAGAUCAAGUGCUAUCGAAGAAUAUCCAAUUUCUUCGCCAUGAGAAACUCUUCACUUGUUUUUGGAUUAUACUUUGGCUCAUUAUCCAUUUGCACUGUGACAUGCUAUCCACAUCUUGGUUUCAUCUGACCAAAUAAUAUUUUUCCAGGACUGUGCAGGCUCUUUUAGAUGUCUAGAAGUCUAAACUGGUUUUCCUGUUCAGGAGUGUAACCAGUGCUGUGCACCUUGUUGUAACCACUCUGUAUGUUCAUUCAUGAAGGCAUCUCGUGAUUGUAAACCUUAACAAUGAUAAGCCGGUCUCCUUGAUGAUAUUGUUUAAGGUGGUUUGAUGCUGAAAAGUUGUUUAUAUUUACCAAGGAAAUUAUUUUAUCAUCGUGCACUUUAGCUCUGUUCUGUGCAUUCAUGCUUUUAAAGAAUAAAAUCGUUGCACUGAGAUCUCUUUAGGCCCUAUAGUUAAAAUUACAGUGGAAAGCUAUAAUAUAGAAGUUAAACAGUUUGAAUCAACUUCAUUAGUCAUAAAUGACAACGGAAGAGAUUUCACCUCUCCAUAAAAUUGUGGGACUAUGUAUAAAAAUGGCUUGAAUUGCUACAUAGAACAAAAAACAAACAAACACCCAAAGCAAAACUCUGAGCUGAAUGAAUGUACUCCAGUCAACAUUGAUUGAUUUUAAAUACCACUGUGGUGGUGUACAGGGGCAAAACUAUAAAAAUUGUCUUUUUCAGCAAAUUAUGGACUGUAAGUGACUUUAAAUGUGGCAUAGGUUGUUGGUGCCAGACAGGCUGGUCAGAGUAUUUCAGAAACUGCUGAUCUACUGGGAUUUUCCUACACAACAAUUGAGUUUACAUAGAAUGGUCCAAAAUAACAGAAAAUAGUGAGCAGCAGUUCUCUGGGUAAAAAUGCCUUGUGUAUGCCAGAGGUCAGAGGAGAAUAGCCAGGCUGCUUCAAGCUGAUAGGAAAGCAACAAUAACUCAAAAUAACCACUCUUUAUAGCAAGGUAUGCAUGCACAAUAGUCUGAAUGCACAACGUGUCAAACCUUGUGGCAGAUACAGCAUCUGAAGUGAGCUAAGAACCAGAAACUGAGGUUAAAAUUUGCACAGGCUCACCAAAAUUGGAAUUUAGAGAUUUGUAAAAAUGCUGCUUUGUUUGAUGAGUCGCAAUUUAUGUUGCAAUAUGUACAAAAUGAUGGUGGAUCCAUCCUGCAUUGCAUCGAUGAUUCAGACUGAUGGUGGUUGUGUAAUGAUGUGGGGCAUAGUCCCUUGGUACACUUUGGGCCUCUUAGUACCAAUUGAGCAUCAAUCACCAAAACCUACCUGAGUAUUGUUGCUCAAUCCCAUAGAGCACCUUUGGGAUGCUGUGGAACAGAUUCAUAUGCUGGAUGUGCAGCUGACAAAUCUGCAGCAACUGGGUGAGGUUAUCAUGUCCAAAUCAACCAAAAGCUCUGAGGAAUGUUUUCAGCACCCAGUUGAGUCAAUGUCAUGAAUAAUUCAGGCAGUUCUGAAGGUAAAAAGGAGUCCAACCUUCUAAUAACAAGGUUUAUCUAGUAACGUAGCCAGUGAGUGCAUUUUCUCCAAGUUGGUUAUAUUUCCCAUCUUACACAAGCAUCAAAGGAUGGCUGAAGCUCUAUUGUUCUGGAUUGUGGCUAGCAUAAUUUAUGGUGGCGGCUCUCAGGGAAUUGCUGACAGAAGUUUGAACUCUAAUUCUACAGUCUACGUUACAUACUGGAAGUGCUUUUACAGGAAAACAGUUUAAGCAGUACCAAAACCCAAGGAAAUAUUUCUCUUACAGUAUUCCCAUGACCUCAGUAUAAUCAUUUAAGAGCUCAGAAAAUAAAUAAAAUGUAAUGAAAGGAGGAAGCCAAGAGUUUAAUGGAAACUUUGGAGCAGAAAGCAGAGUGGGAAGAGAUUGUUUCAAGGUGACAUGGUGUGGAAAUAUUUGACGAGAUGACUCCUUGGUGUUUAAAAGGAAGCGACUGCCUGAUCACAGCAGGGAACUAUGGAAGUUAUUUUUCUAGUGCAGAGCCAGAAAAGGUAGUUAGAGUUGUGUAAUAGUGACAUUAAUUCUUUGGUCCUCAAACUUUCGAUAUUUCCCUUUUAGCUGUGGGUGACAGGUACUCUAGUUUCAACCGGGCUUCCCGAGAUCUACAUAAAUAAUGGCCUUUAACUACUGCUCAGUUGUUGCAGUGAUUUAGACUGGAUGCAGUGAGAUCUUUUUUUCCAAAUAGAAAUAAAUGUGGGCUCUAAAUUGCCCUAAAAUCUGGGUAGGCAGGGGUGCGGCGGAAAGGAAAGCAGCAGGGGAGGAAAAUUAUUCAGCCAGCUGUUAAAUAAUGCAAAUAAAUAAUUUAUAUGUGGUUGUGUGGUACAGCGGGGUUUUGCUGUCAGCACAGUUUAGGAUGAGCAAUAGAUUUGUUGCCAUCCAUGUCAAUGUGCAUCAUGUCAGUGUGGUAUAUUUCCUCUAUGAACGCUCAUUUUAGUUUUCUUUCAUUUCUUUUUCUGCUGUGAAAUUAUUUUUUCAACAUAUUUGAAGAUAUUAACUUUAGAAAAUUAGAAAAUUUUAUAUUUAGAAAAUACCUUGGGAAAAAAGAAAGUAUACGCAGCCCUGAAGGUCAUACUUCUAAAGAACUGGUUAAUAGCAAUUUUCCACAAGGUGAACUGCACAUUGAAUAGUUUGUCCAAACAGCAGUCCAGAACUCAACAACAUUUAAUUUGUAUCACAUAAAAGAUUUUGUAAUAAAAUAUCUUAAUUAAUGGUUUAUUACUGGUGUAUUAAAUAAUGGGGCACUCCUUCCUUUGUCAACUAAAUACAGAUUACACGAAUAAUUUAAUUAUGGAUAACACAAAUUUCUAUGGUUAGUUUCAAUGUAUUAUUUAUUUAAAUGUACUUGCUUUACAUAUUAAUAAAUGUCCAGAUGCUGACAAUAACUGCAGUAAUCAAUCAGUUAUGCCAUUUAACUAAUAAUUUACAGUCAGCCAUGAACCCAGCAUUUCUGCCAGGUCAGAUUUAUAAGGAGUAGGAACAACUUGACAUGGAACAUGCUUUUGUUACUUUUAUAUCUGUAAAUCAAAUAUUUUAUUAGAAAAAAUAAUAAUGUUGUUUAUCACCUUUAAACAGGUGUCUUGCUGGUACGGCUCUGAUCAGGUGGCCAGCAGGGGGUGCCAGUUCACUUCUUAAUUGUGCUUUAGGCCCUAGUCUAACACUCAGGUUUCCCUCUAUUACUAUGGGGAAGGUGGUCAUAGCAUUUGUCAACAUGCUCACAUUUUCAGAAAACAAAACUUGGUUUCUUAUCAUUUCAACUUCUUGUAUUGGAACAUUAAUGUAUUGAAAAAAAAAGAAACAAAGACAUCUAAUUGUUGCAGCUGUAAAAAACUAAGUAAAAAUAACACAUGUAUAGGUUAUGCUAACCAAGCAAACCUUUACUGUAUGCAUUAUUGGAUGAGCCAUUCCACUUACUAAAUUAGCAAGGUGAUAUUUUUGGCGUUUAUGGGAGCCUUUAUGAGCUGUGUGGCUGUCACCAGCAGACAGUGUUGAAGCAGCUGUAGGAAAGCAGAGGUGAGCAGGACAAGCUGUAAAUCUUCUUCAGGCCACAAAAGGAUUGGCACACAGACCGAGCGACACAACUUCAAAGAAAACCCCUGUCUCCAAUGAGCUUCUUGCCUUCACUGAUACAGGUUUAGCUUGCCCAGCUGUUUCAAGUGUUUUGUUGUGAGAGUGUCUGAAUGAGUUGUGUGGGUGGUUUAGUCUGGAGAUGGACACCAUAAGGCCACCAACCAAGAGCAAUGAUUGACACCCUUUGGUUGAAGUUUGAAGUGUGUGCAUUCUUGUCUGUAUGAGUGUGUGUUGAUCUUUCUAGACCCAUCAAGAAGCUACAAUUUGUUUUCUUUGCAAAAAAAAAAAAAAAAAAAAAAUCAAUAGAUAACAAAAAUUGUUUCACAUUAAAGCACAAGAACACAGAAAAAUAACUGUUUUUAAGCAACCAACUACUGAAUCCAGCUUCUCUGAUAUUUAACUUUACAGCUUGUUCUGUGAUAGUAUGAAUAUGUCUGUGGACAGUUGGUCUGUCUAUUCAAAACAUUUUGAAUAUAUCAUCUUUGAGAGUUGACAUUUGAUAAACCAAAUAAACCUAUUACUUAAAAUCUGGCAAAUUAAUUCACAACAAAUAUACCAUCAGAUAAACAUGCAUCCCAUCUAGAGAGGUAAUAUCAUUAAUAGCAUAAUUUUUCAUUUUAUCAGCUUGUUUUUCUCUUUUGUAGAUAAGCUGUUGGCAAAAGGUCAAUAAAAAAAAUUGUGAUCUGCAGUGAAUCAAUAGAACAGACAAAAACACAUUGGAUUUUACAUUUAUGAGACAAAACUGUAUUUUUGUUGCAGAAAUCUGUCUCCAAAUGAGUAACAUGAGUUACAAAAAAAUGAAAAUAAUAUCUACAAAGAAGGCUGCACUAAAAAGUCAGCUGAAAGUCUGUUUGGCUGUUUUAGCUCACCUUUUUAUUUUCCCGAGAAAGCUUGAAGAGAUCAUACUGAAACUAUACUAAAGCACAGUCUCUUCUGACUUAUUUAAAGAAAUGAAAGUUGCAGUUUGCAGGUAUUAUAGAAAGUCCAAACACCCCUGUGGUCACAAAUUAUAUAUAAUAAAGGGGCUGAUGUUUGAAAUUGUUAAUAUUACUGCCAAUGGGACAAUGACUCUGACUCUGUCUGGCUUUCGUUUGCUUUGAAAGCAGUUAAGUGUGAUUACAUGUGCUGACUUCCAGUACCUUUCUAGCGUACCUUCUUUUCUCUUUUUAAUGGGAUCCAUCGUUUUUAUAACUUUGUUCUUUACCAUCGGCCUUUCGCCCAUCUCCUUCCUUUUCCUCCUUCCUCCCUCUCUUCCCACUUCUCUUGUUGGUUGUCUUUCCGUGUCAGAGACUAAGCAAACAUAGUCGUGUGUAAGUGGCCUCAUAACUCCACGUUCCUGAGAGACUAGGAGCUCUCAGAUGAAGCAGCUGUGUCUUCAUUUGUCAGCCAUGUUCAGCAUUCUCUAGAUAUCUCGAGGAGGCUCCCUGUCUUUUUCUGUGUUCUGGUUUGACCUAGUGCCAUAUGAAAGGCUCUGUAGAAGCUCUCAGAUGCAUAGAUACAUGAGAUGCAUGAUUUAGGGAAAAAAAUCUGAGUGUUUGGUGAACUCACCAGGAUUUGAGCUCCAAGGAUCUGCUAAUUUUUAUUGGCUAUAACAUCUUCUUUCACUAGCUGGGACCACAUCCUCAUUUUUGGUUUGACAGCAUUUCUAGUAGAUAAUGGCAGAUGGCUUGAGCAUGGAUUGAGACUGCGGUUUGGGGAAGGCCUCAGUGGGGACUGGCGGCAGCUCCCGGGCUGGGCAGAUCCCCAUGUACUAAUGAGAAGUGAAUGAAUUUAAAAAGGGAGGGAGGAUGGGGCACAAAAACAAACAGCUUUAAGUGCCGGGGGGAGUCAUAUAUAGACGAGAACCACAAGGUUUGUGUAUGGAGAUGUGGUCCCGCUCUUGAAAAUCAGAUAAAUUAUCUCCAAUAGAUGCGUUUGUUGUUGUUUUUGUUACUGAUACACAAACCUAAACUUUAACCAUUGCAAAGAAUUAAGUUAACAGGAGAAACAACAGGGGAGUCAUUUUGACAUCUUCUUUCACCUGUAGGAAACUUCUUUUCAUGAAGAAGUUAAGUUUUUAAUUUUUAUCUAACUUUUAGAAAUACAAAUAGAAUUUUUAAAAAACUAUGUAAGAUUCGUUUUCACAGCUUUAUAACUAACUUUUAUAACUUUGCUGUAGAAGAACAGAAUCGAAGGGAAAAUUGAAUUUUGUUACACUAAAAUAAAUAAAGUCCAAUGUGUACGCUGCCUGGAUGGAUGAUUAGAUGGAUAAAAAACAGAGCAAACACUGGUUGCUGUGCUUAAAAUUUCACUCUUUAUUUGCUUGGAUUAGUUCUUGUUCUGGACUCUCAUCUGUUCACCUAAAGUUCCCCCACUGCUCUGCACAGCCAGCAAUCUGCCCAGUUAUCCAUGCAUCUUUCAUCCACUCUGCCCUGCUCUGCCCCAGCUCUUUCACCCAUCUCUGACCCAUUGAGCCUUGCAAUAAUUAUUCAUCUUCUGUCUAUUCACAGUCUUGUAACAAUCACAUCUAACUACAGUAGCUUUGUCCCAAGAUAUAGCAGCCAUCAAGCGGUGGGGUUUUCAUUUUAAGAAUUUCGUACCUCAUUUUAAAAUGCUUAAGGAAUUAAAAUGCUUCCUUUAGCUAGGGUCUAACUCAGCUCUCAUACGAUUCGAUCAAAUAAAAAUAGACCAUAUCACAGGAAGCAGUUCACCUAUUUAACAUUAGAAAGCUGGGUUAAAAGACCUAAGAAUGGACAUGUAACACAAACUUUGGAGAGAGGAACAGCCAGAACAAUUUUCUUUUGCCCGCCAAUAAGGGAAAGGAUUUGCUGAGGGGUUAGUGAUUCCUAAAGUGAAGGGAACGCCUAAAGUCCCCUUCGGUGUCCCUUAUAGUCCAUUACAAAAGAUCUAGCAGAAGAUCUUGCUGCUUUUCUGUGAUAGUGGAUUGCGGAUCCUCUGUUCUCUAUUUCAACUGCAAAUCCUUUGAAGUCCUUGACACAUUGCUCACAGUGAAGGCGUAAGGAGAAAGAGCCAAGUGCUUUCUGAAAUAUUUAAUAUAUUUUUCCUAAUAUUCCUGUUGCCCUCCCUCUCACUGCCUUGGUUUCUUGCCCUGUGUGAUUUCUAAAUGCUGAAGUUCAUUUUUUUUUUUGUUUUCAGCAAGUCAUGGUUUUGCAUUUUCCCUUUAUUCAUUCAUCUAUUUAUUCAUUCAUGUACUGAAUUUUAAUACCACCACCGUCAUCAUCAUCAUCAGAAGAUGUUUACAAGAUGUCACAAGAAGGACCAUCAUGUGUUUUGUUUUGUUUUGUUUUUUUCUUCAGCUUGGCCAAAUGAGGUUCACACGUCAUCUUUUUUCUUUUCUCACCUCCUUUCUCCUCAUCGCCGACUGAUAGUCCCCUUUCACCUCCCUACUUAUUUUCUUCACCUUGCAGGUUUGAAUCAUCAGACGCACACACAUCUGUUUCUUCUCCGCGCUCUCCAUCCCCUCCCUGCCGUGCCUUACUCCUAUUUUACUUUAUCUGUUACUCUCUCUCAUCUGUUUUCUCCUGCAUCUGGUGAACAUGAGCUGUGGAAAGACAACAGACAAGUAAUGGGAGAAGUGUGUGUAUGUAAUAUGUGGGGGCGGCCUUGCCCAUCUGCAUGAGUGCACAUAUGCCCAGAUGACAAAGGCAGCUGCACGUCUUUGUCAAAAAAAAAAAAAAAAUCCCAUCUGAAAGUAUUUUCGGAAGAGCUUUUGGUUCUGUACCCACACUGAACUGACACCCACAAAACCACUGACACUCAAGUCACUAAGCUGUCCAACGUCAGCUGCUGAAACCUCUUUAUAUGCUCCAAUCCAUCAUGAUAUCAGAAACAUACUCUGCAUUUCAAAAACUGACAAAUGUGCCUUGUGGCAGCAGAGUUCAUUAUGUAAAAGUAGGAUCAGAGAUUCAUCAACAGCAGCUUCUAUCUGUCUUGGUCUCAACAGCAGCUGGAAUCAAACAAGAAUGAUUUUUCUGAGUAUUUUGUACAAACCUCGCACAGUUAUACAGAUUCAGUUACAGAAUAAUUUCAAAUGAAAUUCUUGAUUACUUUUGAUUCUUUUAUUGCAUUUCUUGGUUCAGUUAUAAUGCACAGCUCAUGUUUUUAUAUAAACGUAGAGAUUGGGAUUAAUCUGCCACCGAAGCCUUUUUUUUUAUAAGGUUGAGAGAUGUAAAGUUGGGUAAAAGUGUUAAAAAUGUUGGUUUCUCUACAUGGACUAGACGCUAGACUUGCAUCCUUUGUUUCAGUGUCACAGAAUUCAGGGAAUGAACAGAGGUGCUGCCACAAAGGCCAGUGUAAGGUAAAUCAGGAUUAUUUUGAACUGUGAAUCAUGCAAAGCUACUCAUGUGGAGUCCAAUAAUAAAUGCAAUUUUGGAAAUGAGCAUUAUUUAAACAUUUAAUUAAUCAUUAUAAUGUUCAAUAAUUCUCUCUUAGUCUGCUAA